AUGGACAAAAGGACUAUCUACUUUUCAUAUUCUAUGUCUUUCCCCUAACCAUGACAACUCUGGCGCUGUGUUUAAAUAUUAAGCAACAGCUUGAAAAGGAACAAUUGACGAAAGAAGAGCAGGAAAGUGUUAAACUCGCCAGGCAACGCCGUCAAGCUGUACUGCCAAUCGCGGCGUAUGCAGGCAUGGCCGUGGCACCAUACGUGUUUGCAGCUUUAGUGGCGGCUUACGGCAUAUAUUUGGUUAGGCGGUAUAAUAUCAGGAAAGCAUCUGGCUGGAGUAUCCCAUGCGCAAAUAACAGGGGUUGGUGUAGACCUACAUGCCGUUCUAAUGAGUACAUUGAUGAUUACCAUAGUGACAUCUGCGGAGGAAAUUAUUGUUGCAGGCCAGGGAAUCUUGGUUAAGACGCCUUUAUGAAAAGAAAAGAUAAUUGUUAUGGACUCUCAAUAAACACAAUUUAACAAGAACGAAGAAACUUUUUUUCAUAAUUUCUUAAUUAAGUUAAUGUUCUUGUCGGAAAACAUCAUUAUAUAUUAUCAAAAAGUAAAUAAAGCAAAGUAAAAGUA